CACCAGUGAAAGAGGGGAAGUUGCUACUGUGAUGAAUUCUGCCAUGUGGUACCAGACUGCUGCCCAGACCACAGUGUCCUCUGCAACCCUGCUUCUCAGAUGACCAAGAUGGUGCUGCCGAUGGUGUUGAGGACGGAGAACCCACCAAGCCCCGUUAGGAGCCACCUAGACUGGAUGCAGAGCACAGACAAUUUGCUGAGGUCUGGGAGCACCCCCUCCAGAGAGUCCCUGAUCUCUCACAACUUGGUCGUGAUCUAAAGUUUAUUUGAUGUACAACUCCCCCUCCCCUUCUUUUGGAGUUUUAUUUGCUUCCAAGAAGGAAGGCAAGAUUUCCUGGGUCCGUGAUGAUGGAAGGCUGACAACUCUUUUAUGGAUUUUGAGCUUGCUCCCAGUAGGGAAGACAAGUUCAAGUUUUUUUCCUGCUUCAAGGAUGGUGGAGAGCAGUCUUCAGCCUGAGACCCAUCCCUAGAGAAGGCUUCUACUGACUCGAGCCCCUUUAAAGGAUUCAGAACAAAGGGGCCAUUCACCCCUUCUGGGGUGCU
rnacentral:lncRNA from 1 species